rnacentral:rRNA from 1 species
GCUUACGGCCAUACCAGCCUGGGUACGCCCGAUCUCGUCUGAUCUCGGAAGCUAAGCAGGGUCGGGCCUGGUUAGUACUUGGCUGGGAGACCGCCUGGGAAUACCAGGUGCAGUAAGCA